GGGGGGCCAAAGCUAUGGGGGGAAUGGGGAGCAAAGCCAUGGGGAAAUGGGGAGUCAAGGAAAGGGGGGAAUGGGGGGCCAAAGCCAUGGGGGAAUGGGGGGCCAAAGCCAUGGGGGAAUGGGGGGCCAAAGCCAUGGGGGAAUGGGGGGCCAAAGCCAUGGGGGAAUGGGGAGCAAAGCCAGGGGGGAAUGAGGGGCCAAAGCCAUGGGGGAAUGGGGACCUGAGGCCAUGGGGGAAUGGGGAGCAGAGGCCAGGGGGAAAUGGGGAGCCAAAGCCAGGGGGAAAUGGGGACCAAAGCAAAGGGAGAAGGGGGAACCAAAGCCAUGGGGAAAUGGGGAGCCAAAGCUAUGGGGGAAUGGGGACCUGAAGCCAUGGGGGAAUGGGGAGCCGAAGCCAUGGGGAGAAUGGGGAGCCAAGGAUGUGGGGAACUGGGGAGCCAAGGCUACAAGGAAAUGGGGACCCGAGGCCACGGGGGAAUGGGGAGCCAAGGCUAUGAGGAAAUGGGGACCCGAGGCCAUGGGGGAAUGAGGACCUGAAGCCAUGGGGGAGUGGGGAGCCGAAGCCAGGGGGGAAUGGGAAGCCCAAGUUAUAGGGAAAUGGGGACCUGAGGCCAUGGGGAAAUGGGGGGCCAAAGCCAGGAGGGAAUGGGGAGCCAAAGCCAUGGGGGAAUGGGGAGCCGAGGUCAGGGGGGAAUGGGGGGCCAAAGCCAUGGGGAAGUGGGGGGACGAAGCCAUGGGGGAGUGGGGGGGACGAAGCCAUGGGGGAGCGGGGGGCCAAGGAUGUGGGGAACUGGGGAGCCAAAGCCAGGGGGAAAUGGGGACCCGAGGCCAUGGGGGAAUGAGGACCCGAGGCCAAGGGGGGAAUGGAGAGUCAAAGCUAUGGGGAAAUGGGGGGCCAAAGCCAGGGGGAAACAGGGAACUGGGGCCAUAGAGGGCCACAGGUCCAGGGCCAUAGGGAACCAAGGAUCUGAUGCCAUAGGGAAGCAGGAAUCCAAGGCCAUAGGGAUCCAUAGGGAGCCAUGGGGAGCCAUGGGGAGCCAGGGAUCCAAGGCCAUAGGGAGCCAUAGGGAGCCACAGGGAGCCAUAGGGAGCCAUAAGGGAGCCAUAAGGGAGCCAUAAGGGAGCCAUAAGGGAGCCAUAAGGGAGCCAUAGGGAUCUGAUGCCGUGGGGAAGCAGGGAUCUGAUGCCAUAGGGAAGCAGGGAGCCAGGGCCAUAGGGAACCAAGGAUGUGAUGCUAUAGGGAAACGGGGAUCCAAGGCCAUGGGGAAGCCGGGGGGGACACCAUAAGGAACUGAGGAUCCAACACCACAGAGAAUGGUGAUGUGAUGUCAUGGGGAAUCGAGGAGUGAUUCUAUGGGGAAGCGGGGAUCUGGGGCCAUGGGGAGCCAGGGAGUCGGGGCCAUAGGGAGACAGGGAUCCAAGGCCAUAGGGAGCCAUAGGGAGCCAUAGGGAGCCAUAAGGGAGCCAUAAGGGAGACAUAAGGGAGACAUAAGGAGCCAUAGGGAGCCAUAGGGAGCCACAGGGAGCCACAGGGCGCCAUAGGGAGCCAUAGGGAUCUGAUGCCGUGGGGAAGCAGGGAUCUGAUGCCAUAGGGAAGCAGGGAGCCAGGGCCAUAGGGAACCAAGGAUGUGAUGCUAUAGGGAAACGGGGAUCCAAGGCCAUGGGGAAGCCGGGGGUGACACCAUAAGGAACUGAGGAUCCAACACCACAGAGAAUGGUGAUGUGAUGUCAUGGGGAACCGAGGAGUGAUUCUAUGGGGAGGCGGGGAUCUGGGGCCAUGGGGAGCCAGGGAGUCGGGGCCAUGGGGAGACAGGGAUCCAAAGCCAUAGGGAGCCAUAGGGAGCCACAGGGAGCCAUUGGGAGCCAUAGGGCGCCAUAGGGAGCCAUAGGGAUCUGAUGCCGUGGGGAAGCAGGGAUCUGAUGCCAUAGGGAAGCAGGGAUCCAAGGCCAUAGGGAUCCGCAGGGAGCCAUUGGGAGACAUAGGGCGCCAUAGGGAGCCAUAGGGAGCCAUAGGGCACCAUAGGGCGCCAGGGAUCCAAGGCCAUAGGGAGCCAUAAGGGAGCCAUUGGGAGCCAUAGGGAGCCAUAAGGGAGCCAUUGGGAGCCAUUGGGAGCCAUGGGGCACCAUAGGGAGCCAUAGGGAUCUGAUGACGUGGGGAAGCAGGGAUCUGAUGCCAUAGGGAAGCAGGGAUCCAAGGCCAUAGGGAUCCACAGGGAGCCAUUGGGAGCCAUAGGGCGCCAUAGGGAGCCAUAGGGCGCCAUUGGGAGCCAGGGAUCCAAGGCCAUAGGGAGCCAUAGGGAGCCAUUGGGAGCCAUGGGGAGCCAUAGGGGAGCCAUAGGGAUCUGAUGCCGUGGGGAAGCAGGGAUCUGAUGCCAUAGGGAAGCAGGGAGCGUGGGCCAUAGGGAUCCACAGGGAGCCAUUGGGAGCCAUAGGGAGCCAUUGGGAGCCAUAGGGGAGCCAUGGGGAGCCAUAGGGGAGCCAUGGGGAGCCAUGGGGAGCCAUAGGGGAGCCAUAGGGAUCUGAUGCCGUGGGGAAGCAGGGAUCUGAUGCCAUAGGGAAGCAGGGAGCGUGGGCCAUAGGGAGCCAAGGCCAUAGGGAGCCAGGGAUCUGGUGUCAUAGGGAGCUACAGGGAGCCAUAGGGAGUCAUAGGGAGCCACAGGGGGCCAGGGAUCUGGUGCCAUAGGGAACCACAGGUCCAGGGCCAUAGGGAGCCAGGGCCAUAGGGAGCCAUAAGGAGCCAUAGGGGGUCAGGGAACUGGUGCCAUAGGGAACCACAGGUCCAGGGCCAUAGGGAGCCAAGGAUCCAACGCCGUGGGGAAGCAGGGAUCUGAUGCCAUAGGGAACCACAGAUCUAGGGCCAUACGGAGCCACAGGUCCAGGGCCAUAGGGAGCAGGGAGCCGGGGCCACAGGGAGUCCAGGAUCUGGUGCCAUAGGGAGCCAGGGAUCCCAUGCCGUGGGGAAGCAGGGAUCUGAUACCAUAGGGAACCAGGGAGGCAGGGCCAUAGGGAGCCAAGGCCAUAGGGAGCUACAGGGGGCCAUAGGGAGCCACAGGGGGCCACGGAUCUGGUGCCAUACGGAGCCACAGGUCCAGGGCCAUAGGGAAGCAGGGAUCUGAUGCCAUAGGGAACCAGGGAGCCAGGGCCAUAGGGAGCCAUAAGGAGCCAUAGGGGGUCAGGGAUCUGAUGCCAUAGGGAACCACAGGUCUGGGGCCAUAGGGAGCCAAGGAUCCAAUGCCGUGGGGAAGCAGGGAUCUGAUGCCAUAGGGAACCACAGAUCUAGGGCCAUACGGAGCCACAGGUCCAGGGCCAUAGGGAGCAGGGAGCCGGGGCCACAGGGAGUCCAGGAUCUGGUGCCAUAGGGAGCCAGGGAUCCCAUGCCGUGGGGAAGCAGGGAUCUGAUUCCAUAGGGAACCAGGGAGGCAGGGCCAUAGGGAGGCAGGGCCAUAGGGAGCCACAGGGGGCCACGGAUCUGGUGCCAUAGGAAACGACAGGUCCAGGGCCAUAGGGAAGCAGGGAUCUGAUGCCAUAGGGAACCAGGGAGCGUGGGCCAUAGGGAGGCAGGGCCAUAGGGAGCCAUAAGGAGCCAUAGGGGGUCAGGGAUCUGAUGCCAUAGGGAACCACAGGUCCGGGGCCAUAGGGAACCACAGGUCCGGGGCCAUAGGGAACCACAGGUCCGGGGCCAUAGGGAGCCAAGGAUCUGAUGCCAUAGGGAACCAGAAAGACAAGGCCAUAGGAGGCCAUAGGAGGCCAUGGGGGGCCACAGGGAGCCAUAGGAGGCCAUGGGGGGCCACAGGUCCAGGCCCAUAGCAAACCAGGGAUGUGCUGCCAUAGGGAACCGGGGAUCCACUGCCACGGGGAAGCCGUGGAUGAAGGGCCUUCAGGAGCCGGGGAACAGCAGCAUCGGGAGGGGGCAGCACCGGGCCCGCCCCUCCCCCCGCCCUCCCUCCCCC
ensembl:lncRNA